rnacentral:lncRNA from 1 species
GUAAAAGAGCAAGUAUAAACUUCUUUUCAUAAUGGCUAUUUAGGGUCUGUUAUCAAAAUAUAGUAAUAAGAUUCAUAUGUGUGAUAAAUAUGUUGCUAUCCACUCUCCUAUCAGAGAGUUCAAUCUAGUUAUAAAAACACUGAACUAUUAUUAUAUGAUGUAUGCUCUCACUUGAAGGUAGCUAAAUUGAUGUUUUGCCAUAUUUUAAGAACCCUUUCCCUACUCCCUAGAUACAUGUAACAGCCUAGAAAGAUCACUGCAUAUUGAACUGUAAUGCUAAAUCAGAAAUUAUAUUAUUACUCAUAACUAGCAUCCCGCUGACUUUCACUUAAAUAUCAGGACCCAAAUUAUUUUACAUCUCACUUCAGAAAUGUGGUACAACGUGCUAUUUAAUCUUCUUGGCCUAGUCUUAGAAUUUAUCAUACACUCUCCUUUUUAUGAACCACACAAACCAUUGGUGAUAGUGACGAGAAGCACUGUAUAUAGUUUCACUGGCUUUGGAUUCUUGUAUGGUGUUUGAAAAAAUAAAAAUCAUAUCUUAUAGGUCUUGAUCGUGUAUGCCUUCCAAUCUUGAGAUGUUGAUUUAGCUGUCCUGAACGUCACAUGAUGUGCCUCUCCAUAAUCCUGUACCCAAGCCAUUGCAGAAUUGCUGACGUGACUUUGGUGUGCUGUGCCAGGGCAAAUAUAUUAUUUUGAAUUAUGCCAGCAGUGAGGAAGACACAUGAGUAUAGCUCUCAGAGUGGAAGAAAAGAGAAAGAGGCCCUUUCCAAAUUCAUUCUGAAGUUCCAGAUGGAGAAUUGUGCAUUUCUCACAUUUCUAGUCUUUCAAGUAAGUGUUACAAGCCUUGUCUACAAAAUAAUUACAGAGUUAUCUGAAAGGGAAUGUGGGUUGCUUGUCUAAAUUAGUUAGGAUACCUUGUAGUUUCUUGGGAGAAAAGUCAGAAAAUGAAAGUUAUCUUUGAGUGUUUGGAUUGAAUUUCAGUAUUCAAAGCAUGAAAUCUUUCACAAAUCUUUCCAUUUAGUGUUGUUGAAAAAGGUGUAAUGUAAGCACAAUACUGUACCUCUUUCCUCUCCAUAACUCCUGGAAAGGCGCCAUAGAACAUGCAUUUACAUCAAGUCCUUGCUUGAGGUGAGUAAGCAAUCACCAUCGAUCAGCCUAGCAGCCAAAAGGGCACCAAAUUCAUUACUCAGUUUCUUGGUCCUUGUUCUAUUUUAUUUUAUUUUAUUUUAUUUUAUUUUAUUUUAUUUUAAUGUUUUUAUUUUUGAAGGAGAGAGAGAGAGAGAGACAGAGCAUGAGUGGGGGAGGAGCAGAGAGAGAGGGAGACACAGAAUCAGAAGCAGGCUCCAGGCUCUAAGCUGUCAGCACAGAGCCUGAUGCGGGGCUCGAACCCACAAACUGUGAGAUCAUGACCUGAGCCAAAGCUGACGCUGAACCAACUGAACCACCCAAGCGCCCCUCUUGGUCCUUGUUCUUGCGAGGCGUUUUAUACACUUGCCUCCUGCAAUCUGUAAACAAAUGUUGCUUCAUAUCCAGGUCACCUGGUGAAUCAGAGGGAAUGGGAACGGGCAUUGCUGUCUCUUGAGAAGGCACCAUGAUGAAGCAAGUGAUUCUUAGCACCUUCCACAUCUUAUGGUAUUGUUGCCAGGAUGCUUGAGAAGAUAUCCUGCCAAACUCUGAACUCUGUGAGAGUCAUUGGGAUGCCCAUGCCGGUUCUGAGUUCACAUGCCCAACCAGGUGAUCUGGACUAUCACACAGUAAGGCACAUUCUCUUAGCCUUGGUUUGUCCAUUCUAGGUUUGUUCCCUAUUCCUGUUUGGCCAUUAAGGU